rnacentral:misc_RNA from 1 species
GGAAGUAAAAGUUGUAACAAGGUCUCCGUAGGUGAACCUGCGGAGGGAUCAUUACAGAGUUCAUGCCCUACCGGGUAGAUCUCCCACCCUAUGUUAUUAUUACUUUGUUGCUUUGGCGGGCCGUUAGGCUCCGGCCCGACUACCGGCCCCGGCUGGUAAGCGCCCGCCAGAGGACCCAAAACCCUGAAUAUUAGUGUCGUCUGAGUACUAUAUAAUAGUUAAAACUUUCAACGACGGAUCUCUUGGUUCUG